rnacentral:tRNA from 1 species
GAGAUAUUAGUAAAAAUUACAUAACUUU